AGCGAACGCUGGCGGCAGGCCUAACACAUGCAAGUCGAACGAACUCUUCGGAGUUAGUGGCGGACGGGUGAGUAACACGUGGGAACGUGCCUUUAGGUUCGGAAUAACUCAGGGAAACUUGUGCUAAUACCGAAUGUGCCCUUCGGGGGAAAGAUUUAUCGCCUUUAGAGCGGCCCGCGUCUGAUUAGCUAGUCGGUGAGGCAAAGGCUCACCAAGGCGACGAUCAGUAGCUGGUCUGAGAGGAUGACCAGCCACACUGGGACUGAGACACGGCCCAG
rnacentral:rRNA from 1 species